CUUAGUAACGGCGAGUGAAGCGGUAAAAGCUCAAAUUUGAAAUCUGGUACUUUCAGUGCCCGAGAUGAAAUUUGUAGAAUUUGUCUUUGAUUAGGUCCUUGUCUAUGUUCCUUGGAACAGGACGUCAUAGAGGGUGAGAAUCCCGUUUGGCGAGGAUACCUUUUCUCUGUAAGACUUUUUCGAAGAGUCGAGUUGUUUGGGAAUGCAGCUCAAAGUGGGUGGUAAAUUCCAUCUAAAGCUAAAUAUUGGCGAGAGACCGAUAGCGAACAAGUACAGUGAUGGAAAGAUGAAAAGAACUUUGAAAAGAGAGUGAAAAAGUACGUGAAAUUGUUGAAAGGGAAGGGCAUUUGAUCAGACAUGGUGUUUUUUGCAUGCACUCGCCUCUCGUGGGCUUGGGCCUCUCAAAAAUUUCACUGGGCCAACAUCAAUUCUGGCAGCAGGAUAAAUCAUUAAGAAUGUAGCUACUUCGGUAGUGUUAUAGCUUUUUGGAAUACUGUUAGCCGGGAUUGAGGACUGCGCUUCGGCAAGGAUGUUGGCAUAAUGGUUAAAUGCCGCCCGUCUUGAAACACGGACC
rnacentral:rRNA from 1 species